rnacentral:rRNA from 1 species
AUUGAACGCUGGCGGCAUGCCUAACACAUGCAAGUCGAACGAGUGGCGGACGGGUGAGUAAUGUCUGGGAAACUGCCCGAUGGAGGGGGAUAACUACUGGAAACAGUAGCUAAUACCGCAUACCAUCGUAUGUGCCCCGAUGGGAUUGGGUAGUAGGUGGGGUAACGGCGCACCUUGGCGACGAUCCCUAGCUGGGCUGAGAGGCUGAACGGCCAAACGGGAACUGAUACACGGGCCAGACGCCUACGGGAGGCAGCAGUGGGGAAUAUUGCCAAAGGGGCGCAAGCCGGAUGCAGCCAUGCCGCGUGUAUGAAGAAGGCCUUCGGGUUGGAAAGUACUUUCAGCGAGGAGGCGUUACUCGGAGAAGAAGCACCGGCUAACUCCGUGCCAGCAGCCGCGGUAAUUC